UACGUAGGGCGCAAGCGUUAUCCGGAAUUAUUGGGCGUAAAGAGCUCGUAGGCGGUUUGUCGCGUCUGCCGUGAAAGUCCGGGCUCAACUCCGGAUCUGCGGUGGGUACGGGCAGACUAGAGUGAUGUAGGGGAGACUGGAAUUCCUGGUGUAGCGGUGAAAUGCGCAGAUAUCAGGAGGAACACCGGUGGCGAAGGCGGGUCUCUGGGCCUGUUCUGACGCUGAGGCGCGAAAGCUAGGGGAGCGAACAGG
rnacentral:rRNA from 1 species